rnacentral:tmRNA from 1 species
UGAGAACCUACAGGCUGGCAUCAAAAGAUCCAUGUUCCGACGGAGCUUGCGAUGUGAGAACUAAAGUACGGAACUAAGCAUGUAGAUACGAGAGGGGAGCAUUUGCGGACGCGGGUUCGACUCCCGCCGCCUCCACCA